GCCUCGUUUGGACAGUAGGCAGUACAUCAGUCUAAUAAUCUGAAGGUCGUGAGUUCAAUUCUCACACGAGGCA